AGCCCAUGUCUGCUUUACGGGCAGCCUGGCUAAGGGGAACUACAGGGGUGGCUGCAUAGCUGCAAAGGAAGGUGAAGUUGGAGGCCUGAGAGAAAUCAGAGAGGGGACAUACACAGUUGACAGCCAAUGCUGCAGAUUUCUCAGAUGGAGGCAUGCAUGCGGGAUGACAAAGGUGGCCGUGGCCACGUGGCCCAGCAGACAUAGGCAGGUGGAAAGGUGGAACAUACAUCCCAAGCAUGCGUAAGGUGGCCCGUGAAUCUUUCCCCGUGUGGAGCACCUCAUCCGUCUUCUCUGCGAACAGUUUAAUCCUGUCAAAUGGAAGGUCCUUGACCUUGGAUUGCAGCUCUUUAGGUACAACAGCUGUCAUGAGCCAUGAAGCUCCUCUCCUGGACACUGCCAUGGCUACUGUUCACGCCGCUGUGUCGGCCACAUCCAUGGCAAUCUGCAAACCUGCCCUGGCACAUGAGUAACCCUCCCAUAGUAUUGAUCGAAGGAGUACCUUAUUGGUCUCAGAAAUUCUUUGAGCAAUUUGUUAAUUUCACGAUGUUAUAGAAGCUAUGAUUAGAAAGUAGUGCUGCGUAAUUUGCAAUACAGAGGAGAAGUGUGGAGGAUGAGUAUACUUUUCAUCCAAAUAUGUCUAGUCUCUUUGCAUCUUUGUCCGCUGCUGAGUUCCUUACUUGUAGCUCUGCAAAGAGCAAAAAGCCCACAUCCACCACUAAUGAACUGGGUUGGGGAUGGGUAAAAAACUCAGAGCCCUUCGAUGAUAUGAAAUCUCUCUUCUCGGCUUGCUUACAUGAUGGAGUAGUGGAGGCCGGUGUGCUCCAGAUUUCUGCAGCUGGCUCCAGAAUUGCCUCAUCUAGCGGUAAUGCCACCCUAGAUUGUUGUCUAGGGUGCAAAUUCGUUAACAGCUUAUACUGUUUCACCUGGACCUCCGCUAAUUGGACCUCCUGCGAUUUUGCCACUCUUGAAAAAAGUCUUGAAAUUCUCAGGUAUCAUCCGGUGGCGAAGAGUCUGCUACAAAAACUGCAUCACUGGGAGAAGACGACUGGAUAUCCUCUGGGGAAGCUGCAGGUGUCUGUUCAUCUGUGUCUGAGAUUUGACCCUCUUCAGAUUCCGAAAGAAUUGACACUGAGGGGGUGCUAGGAGGAGGUCUCGGUGACUGCGGCCUUUGACAAGUGGAGGCAGGUGGGGAAUGGUGUCUGUAAGAAGAUGAAUGGCAGCAGCACGAGAGAGAAUGAGAGUGUGAUCUACCCUGUCUCUCAGAGGUGCGAUAGCUCCUGUGGUAGCGAGAGUCAUACCCAGGAGCUAAUAUUCUGGAGGAAUAUCUGCUCCCAUGUCUGCUACGGUAUGAUCUGGCAGGAGAGUAGCUUGGAGAACGAGAUCUGUGUGGAGAAACUCAUCUAUAUCUAUAGCAAUGGCAAGAGCAGGAUCAUCGCUGCGGUGACUGCGGAUUCCCAUAUGCCAAAUAGUAAGCUCCCCUUUCUGAUGAAGGAUAUGGGGAUGGGGACGGCUCCGCUUAAAGUACUGGUGAAGGAGACAGUGAGUGAACCCUAGGGAUUGACUUCCUAGCUGCUUCUGUAAAUACUGAUAGCAAGUGCUCUCUUGCAGCUGAGAGGUCUCCCGCUGUGUUAAUACGGUUAUCUUCCCCAGAUAAGGUAUGUAGGUCUGGGGAAGAAGGAGAGACUGUCUGCAGACUUGAUGCCCAUGCCUGAGCAGAGUGAGAGUACGCUCUCGGUACUGAGCAGGGCAGCUCACACAGCCCUGGAUGUGCUGCAAAACAACUGUCCUAUAGCGGUGCCGACUGUAUCGUUGGCACCCUGCAGUGGGGGCCUCCCCGUGCCACCUCUUGUCUGGUGCAGAUGGUACACACUCCUGCAGAGCCGUGUGCAGCACCA